CCUACGGGCGGCAGCAGUGGGGAAUAUUGGGCAAUGGGCGCAAGCCUGACCCAGCAACGCCGCGUGAAGGAAGAAGGCCCUCGGGUUGUAAACUUCUUUUAGCAGGGACGAAGCAAGUGACGGUACCUGACGAAUAAGCCACGGCUAACUACGUGCCAGCAGCCGCGGGAAUACGUAGGUGGCAAGCGUUAUCCGGAUUUACUGGGUGUAAAGGGCGGGGUGGCGGGGAAGCAAGUCAGAUGUGAAAUUCCAGGGCUUAACCCUGGAACUGCAUUUGAAACUGUUUUUCUUGAGUGAUGGAGAGGCAGGCGGAAUUCCGUGUGUAGCGGUGAAAUGCGUAGAUAUACGGAGGAACACCAGUGGCGAAGGCGGCCUGCUGGACAUUAACUGACGCUGAGGCGCGAAAGCGUGGGGAGCAAACAGGAUUAGAUACCCGAGUAGUC
rnacentral:rRNA from 1 species